UACGUAGGGUGCAAGCAUUGUCCGGAAUUAUUGGGCGUAAAGAGCUCGUAGGCGGUCUGUCGCGUCGGAUGUGAAAACCCAGGGCUCAACCCUGGGCCUGCAUUCGAUACGGGCAGACUAGAGUUCAGUAGGGGAGACUGGAAUUCCUGGUGUAGCGGUGAAAUGCGCAGAUAUCAGGAGGAACACCGGUGGCGAAAGCGGCUCUCUGGGACGGUACUGACGCUGAGACGCGAAAGCGUGGGGAGCAAACAGG
rnacentral:rRNA from 1 species